rnacentral:rRNA from 1 species
UACGUAGGCAGCGAGCGUUGUUCGGAAUUACUGGGCGUAAAGAGUGUGUAGGCGGUGCUCUAAGUUCGGUGUGAAAUCUCCUGCUUAACUGGGAGGGUGCGCCGGAAACUGGAGUGCUCGAGCGUGGGAGAGGAAAGCGGAAUUCCUGGUGUAGCGGUGAAAUGCGCAGAUAUCAGGAGGAACACCAAUUGCGAAGGCAGCUCGCUGGGACGUUACUGACGCUGAGACGCGAAAGCGUGGGGAGCAAACAGG